GGCUGGUUAGCUCAGUUGGUUAGAGCACGGUGCUGCUAACACCAAGAUCAAGGGUUCAGAUUCCCAUACCAGCCA